GGUCAUGAGCGUCAGCGCCAAGCCCUGGCUCGCUGACCGGCAACCCUCCCAUCGCGGUGGGGUGCCCCAGGUGACGACCGGACCGGACGACGUUUCCGGAUGACGUUUUCGGUAAGCGCGAGGG
rnacentral:ncRNA from 1 species